GACGAACGCUGGCGGCGUGCUUAACACAUGCAAGUCGAACGGAAAGGCCCUGCUUUUGUGGGGUGCUCGAGUGGCGAACGGGUGAGUAACACGUGAGUAACCUGCCCUUGACUUUGGGAUAACUUCAGGAAACUGGGGCUAAUACCGGAUAGGAGCUCCUGCUGCAUGGUGGGGGCUGGAAAGUUUCGGCGGUUGGGGAUGGACUCGCGGCUUAUCAGCUUGUUGGUGGGGUAGUGGCUUACCAAGGCUUUGACGGGUAGCCGGCCUGAGAGGGUGACCGGCCACAUUGGGACUGAGAUACGGCCCAGACUCCUACGGGAGGCAGCAGUGGGGAAUAUUGCACAAUGGGCGGGAGCCUGAUGCAGCAACGCCGCGUGCGGGAUGACGGCCUUCGGGUUGUAAACCGCUUUCGCCUGUGACGAAGCGUGAGUGACGGUAAUGGGUAAAGAAGCACCGGCUAACUACGUG
rnacentral:rRNA from 1 species